AUGGGUUGGAGCCCGGAAGGAGGUACUUUUACAAGCAAUUUAGCGUUCCAGCGGCAGCAGAUUGUUCUUCCAGUAGCUUGCCCAGCGGAGGAGCCGGCCGUCAUCCCGAGCGGCGCGCUGUUCUCCAUGUCGUCAGGUGACUUGCUGGAGCUCGACGACAAGCAGUGGUUUGGCGGCAUGGUUUCCGGGUCGUACUACGAGAGCUUGGCGCAGGGGAUGCUCAUCGAGCCGCCGGACGCUGGAGCGUGGCGAGAGGACAGCAAGCACAGCGGCAUGGCGGAGACGCAGACGCCCUGUGGAGUUAAUCGUUCAGCUAAGUAG
rnacentral:rRNA from 1 species